rnacentral:rRNA from 1 species
UGGUGGAGUGAUUUGUCUGGUUAAUUCCGUUAACGAACGAGACCUCAGCCUAUUAAUUAGUAUUAGCAAUCUUUCAUUGUUGUACUUCUUAGAGGGACUAUCGGUGAUUAGCCGAAGGAAGUGUGAGGCAAUAACA